CAGUCGCCGCGGGAAUACAGAGGAUGCAAGCGUUAAUCGGAAUUACUGGGCGUAAAGCGUGCGCAGGCGGUUAUAUAAGUCAGAUGUGAAAUCCCCGGGCUCAACCUGGGAACUGCAUUUGAGACUGUAUGGCUAGAGUGUGUCAGAGGGGGGUAGAAUUCCACGUGUAGCAGUGAAAUGCGUAGAUAUGUGGAGGAAUACCGAUGGCGAAGGCAGCCCCCUGGGAUAACACUGACGCUCAUGCACGAAAGCGUGGGGAGCAAACAGGAUUAGAUACCCCCGUAGUCCCUGUCUCUUAUAC
rnacentral:rRNA from 1 species